AUGUCAUAGUGUUAGAGAGUUGCCACGUUUCCUUAUCACUUCUUCUCGCCCGGUCUGUACUUGAGGAACUGGACGGAGAACUGAUAAGGGCUUGUGGCUAACAAAUACGUCGUGCACUAUG
rnacentral:pre_miRNA from 9 species